rfam:Oryza sativa (indica cultivar-group) chromosome 10, whole genome shotgun sequence.
UAAAAAAAAAACCCUAGGUUUACGUGUCUAACUUUGACUGUCCGUCUUUAAAGAAAUUUUUUUAUAAUUCGUAUUUUUAUUGUUGUUAGACGAUAAAACAUGAUUAAUAUUUUAUGCGUGACUUGUCUUUUUAAUUUUUUUUAAAAAUUUUUCAAAUAAGACGGACGGUCAAACGUUGGGCACGGAAACCAGAGUUUGUCUUUUUU